UCGGGGUUACAGCCUUGCUGAAUUAUUCACCCUUGUCUUUUGCGUACUUCUUGUUUCCUUGGUGGGUUCGCCCACCACUAGGACAAACAUAAACCUUUUGUAAUUGCAAUCAGCGUCAGUAACAAAUUAAUAAUUACAACUUUCAACAACGGAUCUCUUGGUUCUGGCAUCGAUGAAGAACGCAGCGAAAUGCGAUAAGUAGUGUGAAUUGCAGAAUUCAGUGAAUCAUCGAAUCUUUGAACGCACAUUGCGCCCUUUGGUAUUCCAAAGGGCAUGCCUGUUCGAGCGUCAUUUGUACCCUCAAGCUUUGCUUGGUGUUGGGCGUCUUGUCUCUAGCUUUGCUGGAGACUCGCCUUAAAGUAAUUGGCAGCCGGCCUACUGGUUUCGGAGCGCAGCACAAGUCGCACUCUCUAUCAGCAAAGGUCUAGCAUCCAUUAAGCCUUUUUUUCAACUUUUGACCUCGGAUCAGGUAGGGAUACCCGCUGAACUUAAGCAUAUCAAUAAGCGGAGGAA
rnacentral:rRNA from 1 species